rnacentral:rRNA from 1 species
UACGGAGGGGGCUAGCGUUGUUCGGAAUUAUUGGGCGUAAAGCGCACGUAGGCGGUUUGUUAAGUCGGAUGUGAAAUCCCUCGGCUCAACUGAGGAAGUGCAUCCGAAACUGUCAAGCUUGAGUACGAAAGAGGGUCGCGGAAUUCCCGGUGUAGAGGUGAAAUUCGUAGAUAUCGGGAGGAACACCGGUGGCGAAGGCGGCGACCUGGGUAGAUACUGACGCUGAGGCGCGAAAGCGUGGGGAGCAAACAGG